rnacentral:rRNA from 1 species
GUCUGGUAAUGAUGGCAGAGAGGUCACACCCGUUCCCAUACCGAACACGGAAGUUAAGCUCUCUAGCGCCGAUGGUAGUUGGGACCUUGUCCCUGUGAGAGUAGGACGUUGCCAGGC